rnacentral:lncRNA from 1 species
AUCACUAUGUUGCUUCAUUAAGUUUGGACAGGACAUGCCGAAUAUAUGCGAAGAAGACACAGAGUAAAUCUAAAGGCCAACAGAAAAUGAAUUUUUUUUGCCAGAAUGUAGUUGCAAAGUCUGAACCGCAGAAGCUAGAAGAGUGCAGUAAUGUCUGUAUACUGGAACUCGACUUUUCCCCCUCUUCUAUACUCUUAACUAAUUUUUCUCUUCUAUGUAGAUUCCAUUGGCUAAAACUUAUCUGUUUCAUGAUGAGACAUUGCUUUCUUUUUUCCGAAGAUUGGCGUGGUCACCUGAUGGAUCGUUUUUAGUUGUCCCAGCAGGUACAAUAGUGCGG